GAUUGAAGUGAAGAUUGAAGAAAGAGCAAAAGCAGGUCUAGGAAGAAAUUCAAUUAUCCCUCGCAAUUAAGCAUACCACUAAAUUGAAAUUAGGUACCUUGGUGACCAGUGUGGCAAUGUGGCCCAUAUUCCCUUCUUGCCCCCAGCAACCCACUACUUCUGUUAGGUUUGCAUGUGUCUCAACUGUUAUCUCAUUUCUAUGUUAUUGAACUUUUACGCAGUUUACUUCAACUCAUGAAUUUUCCAAUGCUGUUUCUUUUU